rnacentral:rRNA from 1 species
CAUCCUACGGGAGGCAGCAGUGGGGAAUAUUGCACAAUGGGGGAAACCCUGAUGCAGCAACGCCGCGUGAGUGAAGAAGUAUUUCGGUAUGUAAAGCUCUAUCAGUAGGGAAGAAGAAAGACGGUACCUGACUAAGAAGCCCCGGCUAACUACGUGCCAGCAGCCGCGGUAAUACGUAGGGGGCAAGCGUUAUCCGGAUUUACUGGGUGUAAAGGGAGCGUAGACGGCAUAGCAAGUCUGAAGUGAAAGCCCGUGGCUCAACCGCGGAACUGCUUUGGAAACUGUUAAGCUGG